rnacentral:lncRNA from 1 species
CAACGCACAGGUUGAAACUUAAGGAGAUUGACCGCGAGAAAGUAGAGUUAAGGAAACGGCUUGAGUCCUUGGAUACCCACAGGAAGGAGAUACUUUCAUUGCUACGAAAGAAGCAAGAUGAGUUUACCCGAAUUCAAGGCAGGAUGGUCGACUUACGAAAUGAAAUUCGAAAGAUUGAGGAUUCCCCGCCUUUACUUGCUGAGGAGAGUCAAACCUUAGACAAGAUGCAAGCAUUACUUGAAAGUAAUCGCAAAGAGCUAUCGCCAUUUGAACUCUAGGAUCAGUUGCAAUCUUUACUUUGUUACAAGUUUCAUCUAUUGUUAAUCGCCCGAAGCAUGUAGCCAUGGGCAUGAAUAUUUCAUAAUGAACUUGAUUUUUUUUAUAACAUUCUUGUAGAUGUCCUUUAUUUUUCCUUAUUCUUUCAAUAGCCACCAUUUUAGACUAUCAACUGCAAUAUAAACGAUUCCAUCUUUGCAUAAUCUUGAUCAUACUUGAGAAGAUAACUGCUCAAAUAAUAUGAUAAUUUGAACAACACAUUUUCAAGUGUAUGUCGCAAAAUAAGUUGAGCUGUCCUAAAGAGGAACAUUUUUUUUUUCACAAAAGAAUCAUCAGGGUAAAGAAUUUAGUUUUAUCGGGUUGUAACUAAACUUAGAAGUUACCCUUUAAACUGCCUAGUAUCCCAAAAGAGAAUCAAGUCACACGUAGUUCCUACCAUUCACAAUUUAGACUCUUGCGGGUCAGGAGUAUCCAUUUGUUUAUCACCUUAGAUUUGGUGGAGUGUUUUAGCAGUUUAACCACGUGCUACACUAUUGGUGGUUGCCGUCCACAGUUUUAACUCAUGCGGGUUAGGAGCAACAUGCAGUUUAGACUCAUGCGUCAGGGAGUACUUUUUUUUUUAUGGCAUGUAUAAUUUCAUGAAUUUUCCAUUUAUAGGGCCAACUUUUACGCCAUCUUUGUUCACUAAUUUAUACGCGCCAUUUGUGUAAACUUUUCGAACAACAUAUGACCCAUCCCAUUUGGAGACAAAUUUGUCUUUGGUACGAUGAGUCAUAACUAUUGGCCUUCGAACUGCGAGCACCAUAUCACCAAUUUGAAAGGAACGGCGCUGAACUUUCCUAUUGAAAGCUCUAGAAAGGCGAGAUUGAUAGCAUUCAUGAUUUUGCUAGGCUUCCAAUCUCUUUUCAUCUAAAACUUCUAAUUCUUCAAGGUGCAGACGAACAUUUUCUUCCUCCGUGAGUCCUUCUUGGAUAGCAAUUCUCAGAGAAGGAAUUUGUUACUCAAGAGGCAGAAUAACUUCUACACCAUAGACUAAGGUAUAUGGUGUGACUUGCGUUGGAGUUCGAUAUGUGGUGCGAUAGGUCCAAAGAGUUUCGCCUAUCUUUUUAAAUCUUUUUUUGAUUUAGUCACCACUUUUUCAACAAGUUACACAAAGUUUUGUUAAAUGCUUCUGCGAGACCGUUGGCGGGGGCAUUAUACAUGAAGGACUUGCGUUGUUUGAAUUUGAAUUUCUCACACAGCUUGUCCAUUAAGCUAUUGGAGAAAGACUUUCCAUUAUCAGUGAUAAUGUAUCGGGGAAUUCCAUAACGGUAAAUAAUAUUCACACGAAUGAAAUUCACCACAUCUUCUUUUCUAACUUGUCUGAGUGGUACAGCUUCAGUCCAUUUAGAGAAGUAGUCGGUUGCAACUAAUAUAUAUAAACGUUAACUGGAUAACUUUGGUAAUGGCCUCACAACAUCAAGACCUUAAGCAUAAAAAGGUCAAGAAGCAAUAGUCGGGUGUAAUAGCUCGGGUGGUUGAUGAAUGUAAUUUGCAUGAAAUUGACAAACUUGACACCUUUGAGUAUGUUCCAUGCAAUCCUUGACCAUAGUAGGCCAAUAAUAGCCCAUCCUUUUAAUCCAAAAAUAUAAUUUGGGAUCGGAUUGAUGAGCUCCGCAUAUUCCAGAAUGUGUUUCGUGCAUUGCCCGAUAUGCCUCAUCUUCGCUCAGACAGCGCAAGAAUACACUUUCAAAUGAUUUUCGGUAGUGUAUCUUUGUACAAGAUAAAACGUUUGUCUACAAGGUACAUCCUAGUUAGUGACCAAACUCAUGUUGGUUACGAUUUAAGGAAGGAAGGGAGCAAAUCAAAGGAAGCAUCAAUCACCUUGGAACAUAUGGUCAAGAAAAUAGGGUCGUAAAUUUUGACCUUCCCUGGUCUUGUUGAACAACAAUUAUGUAUCUAUUCAUAGAGCUAGAAUUCGUAACAUCCUUGCCUACAAAAAGGGAACUAAUGUUCCCAAUCUCAACAUACCUGCAUAACCAAUUCAUAAAUCCAUUAUUUGCAUACAUUUAUGUUAUUAUUUUGCUUAGCUUUUGUUGUGGGUUUGUCAACUUAUAUAUUUUCUAUGGUCCUCAUGAAAACAAGUUGAAAGAUUGAAUUGAGAAGAUAUUGAGAAAAUUUGAGGAUACUAUUGUGGAAGUUAUCAAGAUAUGAUUAGAUAUAUCAUUGGGCACUUAUCAUGUGAUUACACCUUGGCCAAUCAAACAAGAUCCCAUUUACAAUCCAACUUAACUUUGAAACGAAAUUUGGUGUGAAUUGGAGAGAUUUUCUUUAUCAAAUAUCUUAUCUCCUAAGUUUUGACCUUGAUAGGUUAUCAUUAAUAUCAUUUUUCUUUUUUGUGUUUUCUUCUCUAGAAGAUGAGUGGCUAGUUUUCUAGUUCAAUUCAAGGAGAACAACUUUCGUCUCCAUCAUCGAUUUUCAAAAGCAUCGAAUUUGAGAAGUAUGGCUCGUUAUUUGUAAUUCCUUUAUAUUCAAUUAUUUAUUUCAUCUUUGUUCGAUUCUAAUGCAAUUGAUUAUUAUUUUUCGCUUGUUGAAUUAGUUGUGGGAUUGUAGACAUGCUUUCUAGCUUCUUCUAAUCUAUAAUUGUUGUUAGGGAUUAGAACAAGAAACAGAGUGAAUUAAUUUGAUUGUCAGACAAGUUAAAUAAUUAUUUAGACUUUUGAAUGGUUGCAUGGAUUAAAUUUACAAUAUCUAAUGCUAUUAUUGAAUGAAUGAGAAUUGCUUUUCAACAUUGAAAUUGCUUGGUAAUAAAAAAAAAAUUGACCAGAAGCUUCUUCUAUGUAAUUUGAGUAUUGAAUGUCUCAAUAUUCCUUAGUUUUAAGGGCAAUCAGAUUUAUUUACUUGAAUUGAAAGGAUGUCAGCAAAGUCUGUAGAGAGGAUGCUUAACUUUUGAAUAAAUUAUUUUAAAUUGAUUAGUUUCUUUAAUAUUUUAGAACUUGUUUAUUAAAUUUUUAAUUCAAACCCCCCCUUUUCUUUUCUGAUUACAAUUUCCUGUAAGACAUUUAAAGUUAAAUUUUUCUUCAGUUCCACCUGGUUUUCAUCAUUGUAUUACAAAAUUUUCUUUGUUGUGAUUGAGGAGUCAAUAUUAUUUUUGGAGGUUUUGACAGUCGACCGCGAACCUAUUGUACGGAUUCAAAUACUAAAGGUGAGAGUCCAAAAUCAAUUGAGAACUGAUUCAAAUACUAGAGGAUGAGAGUCCAAAAUCAAUUGAGAACAACUUGUUGGGUAAACUUGAUUUGUUAGAAAUUGCUUUAGGCUCUAAAGAAGUUCUUGAAAUUUAGAUUUGUUUUGAAAUUGAUAAUAAUGGCAGUCUUAUAGUAUCUAUUAGAAAUAAAUCUAUAGGAUGGAUCACCAACAGUAAUGUUGUGAAAAGGUUGUCAAAGGAAGAAAUUUAGAAUCACGCAAAAGGACUUGAGUAGUGAGGCCAAGGAUGCAAUUUUCAGAAAUAAUAGAUGUUUUUGAAGGAAAUUUUAUAUAUAAGUUUGGAAGGAAGGAGGUGUCUUGGUUCCAUGUUUGCCGCACAAUCCUCAGCAAAUUAUGCAUCUGCAAGAAGAUUAAUUUGCUCUAUCACUUUCCAAUUCAAUUGAUCAAAAAUUAGAUAUCAUGGUGACUUCAGUAUUUUGCUCUGUUGGUAUUUGAUAGCCUUAGAGCAUGCAAACUGUUCAGAGCAAUUGGCAUCAUUUAUGGCUCACUUGUGUCCAUGGUUCAAAGUCGUGGUCUUGGUCAAAAUUGUGGUUGUCACUAUUUCAUAUCGAUUGAAGUGGAAUCAUCACAAUCGUGGCGAGAUGCAUAUUUAGUAUAAAAACUAUUUGCAAAAAAUACAUAUAUUAUGUCUUACACAAUCAUUCUUUAUUGUUUAGUAACAAAUAUAUUUUUAACUCAUUUUAGAGCAUAUUGAUGUCCACUACUUAAAUAUUUUUGUGGGUCUCCCAAAUAUCACCAAAUAAAGAUUUGUCAGAAGUUUUAAAUUUUUCUCCCUUCUUGUUAACUCUACAAUGUUCAUUUGAUAUUUUAAUAAUUAUUAUGAAUCUCAAACCACUUUAAUUAUUGAGCAAGUAUAUUAUUGUGUGCGCCAUGUAGAUGUAAUCAAAAUUGCAAGAGAACUCAUAAAUAUAUUUUAAAACAUUUAAGGGUCAUAACACAAUAUUUAAAAAGUUUAGUUUCCGUAGUCAAUUCUUUUGUAUAUCUUGCUUCUGUUCUAAUUUAAUUAUUGUUUUUUCAUAGAUAUUCUACUUUAAUUAUGGGGGAUUCAAAAAUUCAAUUAAUUCAAAUUUUGACAUGGUACUAUGUGAAAUGCAGAAUGAUAUUAACAUAAAAUUUAAUUUUAUUUAUGUUUAACCCUGUAUAUCUCUAAUCUUUAUAGCAUUCACCACAAUUAAGAUCUGCUUAUCAAUAAAUAAUCCAGUAAUGCAUUGUAAUACAUUUGGAUUUUUAAGGUUUUUUUUUAUACAUAUUUCAUCCUUAAUUCAGCAUUUUUUUUCUUUUUUGUGAUUGUGUAAAAAUUAUAUUAAAUAUCUUAAACCAUGGAAGGGUCAUGACCAGUAGUGGAGGAGAACGAGAAGCCCAUAAUAUUUGUCAUGCUCAUGGUUGGGGUGCACACAAACCAAACUAAGUCAAGUUUUGGCUUAAUCGAGUUGAAUCAAGUUUUGGUCUAAUCGAAUUGAGUCUCAACUUAGUUUUAUGAAUCUCGACGAGCUCAAAAUGUAAAGCUCGAACUUGAGCUCGACUCAAAUUAACUUAAAAAACUAAAAAAUGAUUAUUUUAUUUUUUAAAAAAAUUAGUAAAAUAAUAAUUUUUCUUAACAAAUAAUAAAAUAUUAGGGAUAUAGAUGUAAUUUUACUAUAUAUAUAUAUAUAUAAUCAAACUGGCUCACGAGCUAACGAGUUAAAUAUCUUUGAACUCGAGUCGAGUUUGGACUCGAGUUGCUCAUGCAGCCCUGCUCAUGGCAUUGAAGAUUGUCGAUGUAGGCUUGAAACCCAGUUGGAAUGUGAAACUCUCAUCCUUGUCCAUGACUCUUCCUGGAGAAAACCUGGAAUUAAUGGUCAUCCCCUUGUACCAUUUGGGAGACCAGUCUCUCCUCCAACUCAGAGCCUUUUUGUUUUGAUUAAUGGUGUUGUGUAUUUAUUGAUGUGAUGCCACGUUUAUGAUCCUACAAUUUUGAUUUCGUUUGAUCUCCGCAAGGAGGAGUUCGGGUCCGGUCAAUCAAACCAUCCCAGGAUCCCUUGGUUUUGCUCAACCAGCUUGAUUGGGUACUCGGUACAAUUCAUGGGAUGCUCAGCGCUGUCAGGUCCUACUAUAACUUGUGUUCCUUGAAACAUUCUGUUUUAUGCACUAGAAGAUGAUGAUGGCGAUUCCUGGAGGAGCUAUGCUCUUUCCUUGCCCAUUCCGCCUGAAAAUCUAGUUGGAGGAUCAGCACCACGUUGGGUGGCAUUCCCAUCUGGCAAUCUCCCCAAUGGCUAGAUACCAUUGCCCUCCUUAUCCUGCAUCUGAAGUCUGAUUGCUUCUUUACACGUGUUUAUUCUUAUUAUCAUUGCAAAAGCAGUGUUGAGAGACUGCUCGGAGGGGGUGACCUCAACAUGUUAUCGGGUUCUGACAGAAUUCUGGGCAUGUAUAGUUGCCUUAGGAUCACCUGUCUAGAGGAAAAUAUUGCACCAUUGGAGGUUUUAUUCAGUACAGGUGGAUGAACAAUUAUUGUUAGUACCUCCUGCCAUAAUUAUCUGAUUGUUGUAACUUAACUAAAGCCCCUGUAAAUAUUGAAAAUUUUGAUUUUAACACUUUGGCUUUAUAUGCAUUCUUUUCACUGUAUCUCUUCCAAAUUAGUUUAAGCAGAGUUUGGCUAUAAGCUCAAACUUGCGAAUCAGCAGAUAUAGUCUAAUAAACUACUGUCAGCUCAAUUAUACCGGUUCAGAGCAGUUUUGAGUUACUAAUUACGUUUUGUUUCAUCGCAAACAAGAAGUUUUAUUAAGAGAAGCAAGAGGAAAUUACAAAUAGAGGUAAUCCAUAGUAAUACAAAACUGCAAACGUGCAGGAAUCCGACAUAGCACAGCUAGCUACACACAUUCACCUAUUUAUCAUCACAGCAAACGGCAAACUCUACUGCAGGACCAUAGACAAGUUCUCAUGAUUCCUUCGGAUACUUUUCUGAGCAGCGCAAGCCCCAUCUACUGUUGUUCAUCCUUCACAUUGGCCUUACAUACACAACAUUUGUUCAUCCUUCACCAAGAUUUGCUAAUGGAUUUAUUUUUUCCUUCCUUUCCAAACACGUUAAACUGAAGCACCUAAGGCCAACCUCGUCCUGUAAACUUCUGCUGCAUUCCAUAAACAAGAUAUCACUCAAACUUUAGCAACCUCGAAAAUACGCUAUAAGCUCUGAAUCUUCUCCCAAAAGACUGAUGAAAUGGACAAGCAAAAAAAUAAGUAAAGGAAAUGAUUAGCGGACCCCUCGACUAGAUGACACAGCGCAUAUCCCAAAUUAGUAGCAAUUGAGGCCCCGUUUGCUAAAAUCUUUCCUUGCAUGUCGUUAUUCCAUUCAGAAAACUAGAACUUAAAGAAGACUUCAUGACGGAGCAAAUAAAAAACAACUCCGACGAAAAUACAUAUAGUUGUUUUUGGCAGAACUAUGUGAAAUUUCUUUUAGUCUUUGUUCAACUAUAAAUAAUCUUCUUAUUAUUCUGAAAGCUAAUAGUGUAUUAUUGUAUAUGUGAUCUUGUUCUUAUGUAAAAUCAACAGGUUUCUUUUAAGACGACUUUUAUGCGUCCGCGGUGGAAUGGUCAAUCUUGGGAAGCUACAUCCUAUUUAGUGACCAAACUGAUAAUGGUUAGGAUUUAGGAAGAAAGGGAACAAAUCAGAGGAAGCAUCAAUUAUCAAUUACCUUGGAACGUAUGGUCAAGAAAAUAGGGUUGCAAUUUCUGACCUUCCCUGGUCUUGUUAAACAACAAUUAUGUAUCUAUUCAUCAUUAUCAUUAUCAUUACUGUAUAAAAAGUAUGAUGAGUUUUGACAAUAAGGAGUGUGAGUGUAAGCAUAUUUUGAUUUUAGUUUUUGUUAUGCCUAAAUUACCUUCAUGUCUUUUAAUUAAAGUUAUUGCAUUUUAGUCAUGACACUAACAAGAAAAAACGAAAUGUUUCAAUAAAUUGCAUCUCAAAAAUGUUGGUAAUUAAAAUUAAAAACUACCCACUUACAACUAUAUUCACCAAUCAUUUUCUUCAUCUUCAAUUAUUGUAUGUGUUAAAAUUAUCUUCAAUUAUUAUAUUCUUUUGCAUGGUAAUUAAAGCUAACCAUAUUUUAUACACAUAUUGGUUUAGAAGAAAAUCACAAUUAAUAAGAAGACAAAAAGUUAUAAACAAUUAAUGAUCAAACUAAAAUGUUAAAUUGAUGAUUAAAUUCACUAUGUUAUAUCAUAUUGAUUAAUAAAACUUCAAAAAAAUUAUCAAUAAUUAUAAAAAUAUAACAGAAAAGAUUUACAAUGACUGAAAUUGAUAAAAAUUUGUAAAUGUUGGUAAUUAAAAUUAAAAAUUGCUCACUUACAACUAUAUUCACCAGUCAUUUUCUUCAUAUCCAAUUAUUGUAUGUGUUAAAAUUAUCUCUAAUUAUUAUAUUCGUGUGUGUGAUAAUUAAAGCUAACUGUAUUUUAUAUACAUAUUGAUUUAGAAGAAAAUCACAAUUAAUAAGAAGAUAAAAGGUUACAAACAAUUAAUGAGAAAACAAAAGGUUAAAUUGAUGAUGAAAUUCACCAUAUUAUGUCAUAUUGUCUAAGAAAACUUCAAAAAAAAUUUAAUAAUUAUAAAAAAAAUAUAAUAGAAAAGGAUUACAACUAUUGAAAUUGAUAAAAAUUUGUUAUAUCCAAAUCAUAAUGUUUUAGUAUGUAUUUUGCCUAGGUUUUGUUUUUUGCACUGGUUUGACACAACAUAGAAAAUCUUCUCUUCUUAUUGUCACAACCCAAGUAAAAUAUGCAAUAACUUAGUUUAAAUAUGAUAAUCUUCCAUCUUCAAAGUUCAAUAAACUUUUAAUUAUUUUGUAUAUAAUAAACAUUUUCUACAACCAACAAUUGCUUAAUUUUGUUUAUUAUAUGGCUUCUUAGUCACUAUUAUACCAACAACUUAAUUUAAUUAUGAUAAUUUUUCAUCUUCAGAGUUUUUAUAAUUGUAGAAUGCACAAUAAACUUUUAAUUGCUUUGUACACAAUAAACAUUUUUUACAAUUACCAAUUACUUAAUUUUGUUCGUUAUAUAGUUUUUUAGUUUAUAUUAUGCCCAUAAUCAAAGUUUGGCACAAAAAUUUAAUAUAUUAAAAAUUUUAUACCUUAAAAAAAAAUUUCACAUGCAAGUCACGUGAGUUAUUACUUGUAGAACUAGAAUUCGUAAUAUCCUUCGCCCAUUAGUGACUAAAGUGUCUACGAAAUUGUAAAAUAUAGCCAACAUUUCCAAACUAUGUUUUAGUAACAUAUCGAACCAACCAAGACCUGACUUCUAUAUAGCUAUCACUAUCAGGUUUAAUAUUCCAACAAACAUUCCCACCAUCUGUGGUGGAUACAAUCUGGGUUAUCCACUUCUUCAAAAUUCAAACCCCGCGCGCAGAAGAAUAAAAUGCAAAGGAAUAAGAAGAGAAAUCAAAAGGCGCUUUUCCUUACACGAGCCCGCAGGGUAAUUGCCCACCAUAAACUCCACAUAACUUUGGAAGAGAGGUAUAAUAAUUGCCAGUGCAAUCAAGUCUAGAAUUCUAGAAUGCGGUGCACAAUCUUUUAAACAGGUUCUAAUUGACAGUAAAAAACUUGAAUAAUUUUGUUAUAGGGAUGUAAUUUUUAAUUACUGCUCACAUGGGUUGUGUCAAAAUUACGUAUAUAAGACAAUGGUCUCUACCCUUGUCCAAUAACUCCUAAACACUUACCAACGUAAGUUGGUUCAAUUGGUAAGAACAAAACACUUUCCAACAAUAGAUCGUGUAUUCGCAUUUCACUGUCGAUGUAAGGACUGUAUUAGUGGACGAUCUGUAAGAACUUCUUUAAGCGAUCUAUAGUUUCGAAUAAGGUAUGCCCUAACCCAUAAUAGUAAUUGGAGGCAAACCCAUUCAAUCCUAAACAACUUUGACUUGCCAUCUAAAUUUUUUUUCCGCUAUUGUAUUGUCUGGAAGAACCGAGUAUGUUUCUGAGGCACAGACAUUGAGCUGAUUCAUACAUUUCUUGCAUUUGAAAACUUUUUAAAGUUGUACUCUUUUAUGCAUAAUUUUAGAUGCAUUUGUCUUCUGGUCUCCACACACUUGGAAUACAAUAUGCAUGGUAAAGAAUAAAAGUAGAAACCCACUUUCGAAGAAAAUAUCUAUUGAUAAUACUUGAAUUGUUACGUAAAUACUGGGGCUCAUAAUAAAUAUGAAAAGUUUAAUACUAAGUGUUGUUUGCUAAUCCAAAUACAAGCAUAGAGGGAUGAAGAUAUGCAUAUCACCUUUUAAACUAAGUUUUUUUUUUUAAUUUAAGAAAACUACCAAGGGAAAGAAUUAUGAAUUUUAGAAGCUUGAUAAGAGGCCGGGUACACUGAGCAGCUAACAGUCUUAUUGAAAAAACAUUAAUACUUAUAAGAAUUAAAUAAAUUGAUCGCAUUUAUAGACCCUAUUUUUGGGUCCAAGACCAUACCCAUGCUUUCCCUAAUCUUUAUGUCUACAAAAAAUCUAGGAACAAUAUCAUAGUAGAUGAGUUUUUCUGCACAAUAUCAUGUGAUGCAACUAUUAGUAGAUAUUUUCUCACAAUCUAUAAGCAUUCUAGUAUAGAUUAACGGUCAUCUUGUGAUCAAAAUAAGAGUACUCACAUGAGUUAGGUGAUACAUGUUGAUUUAAGAGGGUAAUUAAGAUAAUUCUUGCAACCUAAUUGAUUACAGGAGUGGUGAAAUUCUUGUGACUUAAUCGAUUACAUAUUGAAUUAUUGACUACUUUGCAUUUCUGUUUAUUGGUAAUUACUAAUUAGGCUACGAAAAACCGAUAUAUACUAGCUGAAUUUUACCAUCACAAAGUCAAUGUAAGAUCAUCUAUUUUUUGUACUACAUUAUAUUACACAUAGUAUCUAUAUUUAGUUUUCUUCAAUUACUAAUAACAAAACCACAUCCAAUUUCGUCAUAAGCCAUCAAGUUUCCUUUGAAAAAAAGGAUUGAAAUGAUUUGAAAAAAAAAAUAAUUUGCUUCACAAAUCCCAAUCAUCUUUUUAUCUUCCCAAUCACUUUUUAUCUGACAUAUAUCACACCACAAAAAGUGCUACAGUAAUUAUUUCAAAUAAAUCAUUCAAGUAAAUUCUUAUCCAAACAAACUCACUAUAACUCAUGAACCGUUUAUCUGUGGCAUUAGCAUUUGGCUUCACAACUCGCAUAGCUCAGUUCGAAUUCUCGAUAUCACUAUCUAAUACUAAAUUCAAUGCCAAUUCCAUUUAUCAUAUAAAAGUAAAGAAAACUUGAGUUGAACCAAACUAAUUCGAUUUAUUAAAAAAUUAAAGAGCACAUGAAAAAUUAAAUAAACAUGAUACUUGACAUAAAUAUAAAAGUGAGAUUAAAUUGCCAUCAAAAAAUGACAUCGAAAAUCUCUAUGUGCUCAUAGCCUGGUUAUUGCAAUUGCAGGAAAUGUGGUUCGAACGUCGUUAGACUUGGAGUUGACUGGUUUCACCCUAGAAUUUUCUGAUGUUUUCGGGUCAUGUGUUCACAUUAAACAGCAAUGGAUAGGGUUUGGAUAAGAUUAACAUCGAACACAUGACGCCAAGCCAGUGACGUUUCUUCCAUUGGGCAAAGGCUUUGCCCAAUUUUUUCCAAAUUCUAUGUGCCAAUGCGAUAUGCAUUGACUUAAGACUUUGACUGACACUUUUCCAACCGGAAUUUGACCCUACAAAUGUGAUAGUAACUCCUUUGACGGGACGCGGGGACAGCAGUAUCGUUCUUAUUCUUAUCAAGAAACAGUGGCGGAGUUAUGGGAGAAAAGGUUUCAGUGGAUGUAUAAUUAAAAAUAAAGGCCUGCUUGGCACUUGAAUUUUUUAUCAAGUUUAUCUGUUACAAGUCUUUUAAAAAUUUUAAUUACAGUAAUUUAAAAAAAAAUUUCAAAAUUUUUAAACUAUAUAUUUCAAAAUAUUCAAAAAUUUAUACACUUCAAAAAAAAUUUUAAAAAACUUUUACAGUAAGUUACAGUAAAAUUUUAGAUAAAGACCCGAAGAACUCACUUGCCAAACAGGGUCAAAGUUCUCUGGUUUGAUAAACAUUACUGUCAAUAAUUAAACAAAUAGUGAAUAAUAUCAAGUAGUUACACAAAUAAAAUUAGUGAGACCACAUUGAUAAAUUAGUGAGAUCUUUUAAAAAUUCUAUGCCUAAAAAUAGAUCUGCCACUACUAGUACCAGCAUUUUUACGUGAAGGUACAUACUUCCCCAUUGUCGAAUGAAUAGAUCUGCCACUACCAGCACUUUUUUAUGGUAAGAAAUAAUUUGGAUGCUUUUGGCUCCGAUCAUCACCACGAGUCAAUGUAUAAUUUCAGAAUCAUAUGUAACUUACAAAGAUUCUUAUAAAUCGCCCAUUAAUACAAUUCUCACGUCGAUAGAAAAAUCCAAAUACAUAAUUUUCUGUGAGCAAGUGACUCAUUCUUGCCAACUAAAUCGACUUGUGUUGGCGCAACUACUAGUACCUCACAAGCAAAAGUUAAGAAACCCCAAAGCAAGAGCCACCACCCCAACAAGACACCAUGUGCAUAGUGAUCCACUCAUAAAAAUCAAAACUGAGGAGGUUUUGUUUACUUAGUCCCGUUAUAAUAAAGUUAGCUUCAUGCACAUCUUUCUUCCAUAUGGAAAGCUAAAACAUAUAAAGUGACAAUUGUCACCCAAGCAAAUAAACAACAAUUGAAAGGAAAUUUCGUUACACCGAUUGCUUGUUUGAAGCACUGCUAGCCAGACUUCUCUGCUGGUCUUUUUCUACUCAGAAUAUACGAAUAACACGUUCUGGAGAAAAUGAUGCAUGUGUAAUGCCACUUUCCAAAAUUGUUUUCUUCUCCAAUUAAACUUAGAAAAAGACCAAACUCAGACUUCUAUGUGGCUACUUAAAUUUGGAAUUCCGGUGCAAAUAGCGUAAUUUACCUGCUAUAUUCAAUUUUGGUCAUUAACUUGCAAAUCCUUUUCGGACGAUACCAUGCAUCUACGGAUUUAUGACAUGAUUAACUAUGUACCGCAGCUACUAUACUUUUAAGUAAGUAAUUAUACUCCGCCAUUAGCCGGCUAAAAAGAAUUUAAAAGGUGAGUAGACAAACAUAAAAGUACUUUUCAACUUAAUUAAUAGAAGUAAUACAAGCUUUGGAAAACUAAUGGCAAUACUAAUAUAAUAAGGUACGUGAAAGCAGAAGCUAGCUACCAAUAUGGAAGUCACCAACGAUGAUAACCAAUUACUAAAAGACAAGGCUUUCUAGAAAUUAUUUUCAACAAAAACUACAUGUAUUAGAAAAGCCUGGGAUGUAGGAGAGAAAUUAUUUUCUAGUAAGUUUCAUUAAAAUUUUAGACAAACACCUAAAAAACUCAUUUGCUAAAUAGGGGGUUUAUUUUUAGUUUUUUUACCAGUACUUGUGUUAAUGUAGGAGAGAAAUAAGACUAGAUUACAGUACGACUAUAGCAUUCAAAUGACAUCUAAAGGUAGAAAUAUUCAGGUAAAAUUAAAACAAAAUUUUAGAAGCCUAGGAGUGCAACUCUUCCAAUAACUGUUCCAUGCAUAACUGUUGCAGGGACAAAUAACAAGACACUUGAGAAGAAUAAGGUUCCGUUUGAUAAAACUGAAUCUGAAUUCUGAAGUUUGAAUUCUAAAAUCUGAAUACUGAAACAAUUAAUUUGCUGAAUUUUAAGCACUGAAAAGAAAUAUAUGACUGUUUGAAUUUUAAUGUUAAAUCUAUUUAUACUAUUUGAUAAAUAUUUAUAACUGAAUGUUUAAUAAGUUUAAUUUGACAAUUUUGUCCUUAUAUCUUUUCAGUCAAAAAAGAAAUAGAACCUACAAUUUAAUUAGCUUAAAAUUGUUAGGUAUGAAAAUAACAAUAUUUAUUUUUAAAUCAAAUUAAUAUAAAAAAUGAAAUAUAUUAUAUGAGGAGUAUGGAGAAGAAGUGAAAGUCAUUAAAAAGGGAGAAAAGAGAAAUAGAAAAUCGUUAGAUAGAAAAUAUCAAGUUGUUUAAUUAGAUAAGAAUUUUGAAUACAAUUAACAAAUAAUGGUAGAUUUGGUAAAUAAGAUAAAAUAGUUAAAGUAAUUUUAUUGAUUAUUAUCAGAAUUAAGCAUUCAGUUAGGAUUCUUGUGCUAAAAAUAAUACACACAAGUUCAGCACUUCUUAACAAGUUCAGUUGAUGGAUUUUCAUUUAUCAAACACUAAAAACAUCUGAAUGUCUGAAAAGUUUCAGUUUUAACACUUUUUUAUAUUAUCAAACAGACCCUAAGUCGUUCUUUCGAAUAUCUUUCAAACCUUGGGUUUUAGGUUCAAAUUUUAGAUUAUUUGGAAUUAGAAUUUUUGUUACACUUGAUUUUGUUGUAUAGUGUUCAUUAUCGUAGUAAAGGGUACAUAGAAAUGCUGUAUUUUUGGCUUACAUUGGUUAGCGUAGUUGUUAGCCUUUAACUUCAGGUCCAAGAUUCUUGGGAAAAACAAUUAUUUUAGUUCUUUACACAAAAAUCAGAAACAAAUUGAAGUACCCUACGGCACCAUGGCUGCGGUCCACUUAAAAUACACAACGUCCAUUCACUAAAUUCAAAGUUUUCUAAGUAUAGUCUAAAAUAUCGGAGUUAUAUAUAUAUAUAAAUCCCCAAAAAUGCAAAGAUUUCCAGCUCCCUAGUCAACAUUUUUUGUGUCUUACAUUUUUCUAACGUUUGGAAAACCUUGAAGUAGUACUCAUAGCAUACUUUUAGAUGCAUUUGUGUUGUCCUCUCCACACUCAUGGGUUAGAAUAUGAACUGGUAAGGAAUAAAAGUAGAAGCACAAUUUCAAAUAAGUUUUCCAUCUAUGGUACUUGAAUUGUAAUGUAAAUAGUGGGUCUUAUCCUAAAUAUGAAAAGUUUACUGUUAAGUAUUGUUUGCUGAUCCACAUACUAGUAUAGGGAGAUGAAGAUCUGCAUAUGACACCUUAGAAAAACAAAUAAAUGCACAUAUCUAAGUCAUGAUCAACCGACAUUAAAUUUAAGAAUUGAGGGAGGAAAAGUACGAAUUACAGAAGCUUGAUAAGAGGCUAGUAGUAGUACAAUGAGUGUUACUGAAAAACAUUAAUCAUAAUAAGAAUUAAAUAAAUUGAUCGCAUUUGUUAGGCUACGAAAAAGUGGAUAAAUUUACCUCCACGAAGUCAAUACAAGCUCCAUUCCGUUGUUGAACCAUACUAUAUUGCACAUAUUGUAUUCUAUAUAUCCAGCAUCAAGACUUUCUUUGUUAGUUGCAAAUUUAAAUAAAACAACCAUGUCUAGCUUACAAAACGAAAAACAAAAAGGAACAAAAUACCACCUCUUAAUUUUAUCAUAAGCCACCAAGUUUCCUGCAAAAGAAAAAAAAAAAACUAUCUAUAACUCAUGAACCCUUUAUCUGGUUCGCAAAACUUUUGGUUUGGACAUCUUUAGACUUGUAGUUGACUGGUUUGAGAGACAACACCAUGGAAUUUCCGAUGUUUACUGGUCAUAUACUCGCGUUAUUCAGCAAUGGAUAACAUUAAGACCACUGAAGAUAUGACGUGAACUCAAUGACGUUUUCAAAAUUUGGGCAUAUAUAGGCCAGUUUUUCCAAAUUCGAUGUUGCCAUUCUGUUUGGAUGGGAGUGUUUUUAAAAAACUAGUUUUUGAAAUACAAUAAAAACUUUUAAAAAGUACUUUAAAAGGUAAUCUAAAAAUUAGUUUAAAUUUUUUUAAAAUUUUUAAAAAUAUCUCAAAAUAUAUUCUAGAAACUCUUCUACUCUUAAAUAUCCCAAAAUAUUUUUUGAAAAUAUCUCAAAAUAUAAUCUAAAAACUCUGCUACAGUAAAAUUUUUCAAAAACACUCCCAAAAACAGCUAGGAUGGUUUUGUUUGCAUGGUGUCCUUAUACUAAAGUUAGCUUCAUGCACAUCUUUCUUCCAUAUGAAAAAAUCAUCGCAUUGGAUAGUAAAUUAUUUGAGAUAAUUUUAUGAAAAAAUAUCGUAACAUUUUUUGAUGUGAUGUAUAUUAAAUAAAAAGAUGUUUGAAAAAUGUAUUGAUGAUGCAAAUAAGUUAGUGUGUGUAAAUAAGAUGAAAACAAUAUGUAAUCCAAACAUAUUUUUUACAGACUCCUAAAAAUAGCGAUCCAAAUGGGAUUGCAAAGUGAUCAUCGUCACUUGAGAAAAUAAACAACAACUUGAACGAAAUUUCCACAACAAUGCUUUUGGAAUCACUUCCUGUCUGAAGCACGACUUGUCUGAAUUUUCUGUUUGUCUUGUCAAAUCACAAUACAUGAAUAACGUUCCGAUGAAAAUGACGCAUGUAUAUGUUAUGCGUGUAGCUCUAUUGGUGGUUUGACAGGUUUUAUGAGCAACUUUCAUAUUCUCUCUUUUAUCAUGGAAAGUUAAUAAUAGAUAAUGACCAAACUCUGCCGUCUCUUUUUUUUAAACGUUUUUGGGGUACAAUAAACGACUGGGCUCAUGUGAUCAUGCCGGUUUUAUAGAAUGAACAAGUCAAAAGCAAUCAACACUAAUUAAAGUUAAAAUUUGUAAUUGACUUUCUGAUUUGUUAACCCCCAUAAGUCAAAAGCAAUGUACAUGAAUAUUACGAGAUUUUGAGAAUACAAGAACAAGAAUCACUGCUGAUGUUAACCCUGUGACGUCCAUGAGAUCGCAAAGGCAGUCAAAAUUUCAAACAUGUGUUUUCUUCUCCAAUUAAACUUAGAAAAGAAAAAAAAAACUUUCCCAAAACUCCUUUGUCAAAUUGUGAAAUGAUGCAAAAGCAAACGCGUCCAACGUGGAAGUCACCAACGAGUGUAACCACAUACAUUGGUGAGAUUAGGAAUUUGGGUUGUCUCCAAUGGAUUUUCUCUUCAUUCUUCAUAAUGCACAUUUAAAUGAAAAUAUGUGUUUUCAUUUAUUAGAAAGGGAUAUGAUCAUUUUAAAUUUGACUAAUUCUAACCUAUAUUAAUAAAUGAAAAUAUGUAUCGUGCUUUUAGAUAUCGGCUGCAGGAAAUGGAGAGAGCAUCCAUUAGAGAAGAGGCAAAUCCUCAGAUUAGUAGUUAGCCCUUUAACUUCAGGUCCUAAAUUAAGUUGUUGUGGGAAAUAAUUAUAUUUCUCUUAAAUUUAGUCUCUUUUUUUAAACACAAGAAGUCAAAAAUGAAUUGAGGUGUUGUGAUCUCGAUUUGGACGCUACUUUUGUCUAACAUUUGUCUAACUCCAAACUCAAUUCAACAGAAUGAAUCAUCAUGAAAAUUUGUAUCCUUACCUUCACGACACUGCACAAGACUUUUACCACAUCAAACUUCUCUUACAUGACUUGCUAACUCACAAAAAUUUCAUCAUCCUAAUUCGCUUCUACCUGGUACUAACAAGCUUAAAAAGAGCUCCACAAGGCUAGAAAUUAAUAUUGAGGUCCGAAUUACACAUUAGGGAUUUGAAGCUGGAAUCCCAGGCUUGAAGUCAAAUUUUGCAAGAUAGAAUAGAUGUUACCAUAUCAUUUCGUAAAAAAAAAGAAAAAAGAAUAGAUGUUACCAAAAAAUAUUAAGUGAAUGUCAAUAAAAACCUUAGGUAGUCCACAAUACUAAUACCAUACCCUCAAAAUAGAUAUGGUUCACCAACUAAAAUCAAAAUCUUCUACUACAUAUCUACUACACCAUUAAAUAUUAAUGCUAGAAUGCUAUCUGCUCAACUUAGGUAAGGUCUACCCACCAAAUUCAAAUUCUUGUAAGCAUAGUCCACAUGUCUACAGUAUAGAAGCUAUUUCUUGUGUUCAAUCCUAUUUACAUGCCUAAUUUUGAUGUCCAACAUAACAACAUUUUCAAACUAUUAUCUGUAUACAUGUAGCGUACCCCAGUUAAUCCUUGGUUAGUUCUAUCUAGGUAUCUAACUUAAUUAGAUGCUAUCUACUAUUGAUCCCUUACAUAAAAUCAAUAUCUUGCCAAACAUCUUCCAUCAUAUGUCGUUUAGUAUAGAAUUUUUUUAACAAAAUUAGUUUAUUAAACCCGAGUCUAGGCAAACGUCUUCCAUCGAGAUUCCUUGAAAACUCCAACCAAUUACGGAAUUGGUCAUUAAAUUAGUCUUUUAGUAGUAUUAGAACUAGUAAUCAUAUUCUUCUAAUUAUAUAUUAGGAUGAAGAAGCAAUUGGUUGUUCAACAACAAGACCAAGACCAAGACCAGGCAAGCAUGCAAUGUCUUCAACGCCAUUGCAGAACUAUGGCCAAUAAUUUCACGAACCAAUUCAAACAUCGAACAACCAACAUCUGACUUCUGCAGGGCUAGCUACCAGCUUCGAAACUGCAAGGAACAUAUCCCAUUAUCCACUUCUUCAAACCCUACAAGCCCCACCCUAAAAUAUACAGAGGAACGAGAAAGAGAAAGCCAAUUUCCAAAUGGCGUUAUCUCAUUAAUCACAUUACCGUCUUCUCCACGUAUCUCAUUAAACAACUUUGACUUGACUGCUGACUCGCGGCCCCACAUAUAUCAACUUUGUUUUCCCAUCUAAUUGCCCGAAACCGAGUGCUGGUCUUAUUUAUGCUUUUCGAUGCAUUUGGCUUGUGGCCUCCACACUCCUCUUGGAGUACAAUAUGAAUGGGAAAGGAAGAAAAGUAGAAGCAGAACAUGAUACUUGACUUGUAAAUGUAACGUGGACAAUGGGGUCUUCUCGUAAAUACCAACUGUUUAAUAUUUGGUAGGGUUUGAUGAAUGUGACAGAAAUAUGAGUACAGGGGGGACGAAUAUAUGCAAAAGAAAAUUACUAAGCUGGAAAAGGAUGACUUUUAGAAGCUCGAGAAGAGGCCAGUACUAACCUGGCAAAGUACCUCUAAGUCUUAUUAGAUACACAUUCUUAAUAACAAGAAGAUGGAGCCAAUUAACAAAUUGAUGGCAUAAUUUAUAUCCAAUUUUUGGGUGUAAAUAAACAAUAAAAAAAAGAUUUUUCUAACAAAUACUCAGUGACCACUCGUUAGUAUAACUAAAUUAUAUUUAACUGAAAUACACAUAAUCACGGUUAUUACAUUUCUACAUUUAAAUAUUUUUCCAGAUGACUAGUUGCAAAUUUUUGUUAGUGCAAAUAGCAAAUGAUGGUUGCAAAUUUUUGUAUAUAUUUUCACCAUUAGAUACAUAAUGCAUAAUUCGAAUUUGAAUGUGAAACUCAAAUUUUGCAUAUGUGUCGUAUAUCCAACCGUAAUAGUGUAUAUACUGUUAGUGUAUAUGAGAUUUAAUCUAAUGUUAAUAUUGUGUCAAAAAUCAUUACUUUGGCAAGAAAUUUUCUACUCUGACAAUAUCACCACACGAAAUAUAUAACCCAAGUAAUGGACUUAUAAUUACAAGAUAUUAAGGAUUUCGGUGACAAGAUAUUCAUAUAUUAAUAAUAGCAUCAUAUCUUAAUAAUAAAUUUAGCUUUAUAAUUGAAGCAAAUAAACAACAACUCGAACGAAAUUUCUAUUGCAAUUCUUUCGAUACCAGUUCUUGUUUGAAGCACAACUUGUCUGAAUUUUCUGAUAGUCUUUUCCACUCAAAAUAUAUAUCAUGUUGCUUUAUGUACACGCAAUUGGGCAGGUUUCAUUCAUGUGACCAAACUUUUAUAAUCAUCAAUGGCUUUAUCUUGCAAAGGUAACCAUAAAUAAUGAUCAAACUCUUGUCUUGUGUUUUUUGGUACAAUACAAUACAACGACCAGACUUAUAUUGUCUUUAAAGAAAUGGAAUCUUUUGUAAUUGAUUGUUGACUUGUAUCAAAAGAAAUUACCAUAGCAAAUGAUACCCUGUCCUUCUCCUAUCAAACAUUUUAUGAGAAUAUGAGAUCAUAUGAAAAAAAUUGCUGAUGUUAACCUGAUGACGUUCGUAUGAUUGCAAAAGCAUCCAAUACGUCUAAAGAGUCAUUUCUGUGUUUCAACUUUUCAAAAAUCCACCCUUCAGACAGACUUCUCUGUCACUAUCAAAAUUUGGAAUUCCAAUGCCCAUAGCGUAUUUUGUCUGCUAUAUUUGAUUUUGGUGGACGAGGGGCCUGGGCGGUUGUCAGAGACAACCGUCCCAGGCAGUUCACGGCCUGGAUGAGGUCUCAAAAAUUUGUGCGGCUCAAAUCACGUCUUGUAACUUGAUUUUCACGCCGUGUGGGAUCCACAAAAAUAUUGUUCUAUUGUUACUUGCCGUUGUUUCAUUGUUACACCUUAUACAGAUGAUGUUACACCAUGUACAAAUGGUGUUACACCUUCCGAAGCGGUUGUCAGAACAACCGCUCCAGCCCCGCGUCCGAUUUUGGUCAUUUACUGGCAAACCCUUUUUGCACGAUUGCAGUGAAUCUGUAUCUAAAAGCAUUUGACAUGAUUAACGAUGUGCCACGGAUCCAAUGCUUUUAGAGUAGGACGCGGGGCUGGAGCGGUUGUCAGAACAACCGCUCCGGAAGGUGUAACACCAUUUGUACAUGGUGUAACAUCAUCUGUACAAGGUGUAACAAUAGAACAACAGCGAGUAAAAUAGAACAACAUUUUUGUGGAUCCCACACGGCGUGAAAAUCGAGUUACAAAACGUGAUUUGAGCCGCACAAAUUUUUGAGGCCUCAUCCAGGCCGUGAACUGCCUGGGACAACCGUCCAGGCCCCUCGUCCUUUAGAGUACCGCAAUGUGGACUUGCUUUAGGGAAGUAAACUCCACCAUUAUUAGCCCCCCUAAAAAGUUGAAAUGAGUAGACGAGCAUAAAUUUUUUUUAAGAUUAAUUAAUAAAGCUAAAAGCAAGCUUUUACAAAAUAAUGGUAGUACUAAUAAUUAUAAUAAGGUUCGUGAAAGCAAAAAAUGGCUACCUACACGGGAGUCACGAGAGAUAAUGACCACUUAAUUAUACGACAACGCAAUAGGGAAAUUUCGACGAAUGAAAACCACAUGCAUGCAGGGCCUUUCAUUAGGGGUGGACGUACCUAAAGUUUAGGCACAUGCAAAGAGAAUGAGCAAGGACAGUAAAGCCUCCAUAAAUUGAUAAACUCUAUCAAAUAAUAAUUUUUCUCAGUCCUGACUUGGGCUAACAAGUUAAUUAUAUGAGUUGGAUAAAAUAAUAAGAUAAUAAUAUUAAUAUUUUUUGAAAACCUUAAAUAACUAUUUGGUGCCAAUCAUAGUAUAAAUUAAUAAUUCACUAAAAUUACACAUCAUAUUUUCCUAAAAUAUGAGUCUACUAUUAAUUUGUGAAUGCCUUUUAGAUGGAAAGCCAUCGUUUAACGUUUAACAGUGAGACAAAAGAGAGAACUUUAUGUUUAUUUAUUAUAAAAAGAGUUCCUUGUCAUUUAUAUACAUAAUAUUGUUAAUAUGAUUCAUUGUGUGCAUUUAAUAAAAUGGCAGUGGGCAUCUAUCAUUUAGUAUUCCUCCUCUUGAUAACAGAAAAAUGAUAUUAGUUACAUACGUACAUUGAAGAUAUUAAUAAAAUUAAAUUGUACUUGUAAAUCAAGUAGAUAUGGAUUGGUUUAUAUUUCUUAGAUUUUUAGACCCCUUUUAAUAAUAGAACAUUAGUUGAUUAAAUGAGUAUUUUUUGAAUUGUAAGUAUAUUCAAUAAAUUAAUAAUUAAUUUAUCGAUUAAUUAAUACCUCCUUAAAUUAAUAGAGUUUGUAUAUAUAGUCCAAGAUUAUUAAUUUAUAGAGAUUUUACUGUACUUUAACCGUAUUAAAUUACAAUAAAUGGUUAAGAAAAGUGCGCGAGGAUAAACAAUAGCCUGUUAAGGACAAUUCAUGAGUCAUGACACUCAAUAGAUGUUGGUCGUCACAUUAACUACCUUAUAUAUAUCAAGUAUUCCAGAAAUAAACCACGAAAUUUUGCAGUGCUUUAUCUGCAUAAUAGGGGGCAAAAAUCGACACAUUUGGUAACUUUCUCAUGCGUUGGGAUAAAAAACAUCCGAACCCACAUGAAUAUCUCUAUGUAUAAAGUUUGAGUAGGUUUGGUGUUAAAAAGAAGUGUCAUUAUUUACUUUUUUAAAUAUAUCCUUCCAAUAUUCACUAUUAUCUUUUUUUUUUUUUUUUUGACAAACGAUAACUUCAUAUAUAUAUAUAUAUAUAUCUAUCACCCCUUGAAAAUUCAAGAGUUAAUUACAAAAAGGGGUAACUACCCCCAUAUCUUUCCUAACUAGACUUGAGAGCCAAACUGGGAAAGAACCUUCCCAUUCAAAAUCUCUAGUUGCCUUAACUGCAAACUGUGCUAAUGCAUGGCUACAUUGAUUCACCAUUCUAGGUACAAAAGUGAACGUGCAGCUUUCAAAGUUUCCUUUCUGAACGUCAAUGUCAUCCAGGAUUGUUUGGAGACUACAAUCCUGUCCAUUGUCCAUGUUAAUGAGGCUCACUACAUGCUUGCAGUCAGAUUGGACUUCUAUAGUUGUCCAUCCUGCAAUCUGAGCCAUUUCAAGCGCCCCCCUGAUUGCUAGAGCUUCUUCAGUGGCUGCAAUUCCUUUCCUCCUCGCAGUAAUUCCUUUUGCUCUCACUACUUCUCCGCGCCAGUUCCUUGCAAUGAUUCCAAGACCUGAUCUGACCAUUUUAGCCGAGAUGGCAGCGUCCGUAUUGAUCCUUAUAGUUCCUUCCUUUGGAGGUUCCCAACGCUGCUGGAUUAGUGUUGCCUUUUCUAAAUCAGGAUUUGAACCCCUGUCUGACUCCAUUGCUGCCUCAUACUCGAUCCAUUCCUGUUGUGCCUUUUCAACAAUAUUUUUUGCAUCAGUUAUCUCCUGCUGGAAAGUAACCUUGUUUCUUGCUUUCCAGAUUUGCCAUAAUAUGUUUGCUGUAAGUUGGAUUCUGCCCACACCUUCAGACUUUUUUGCUGCUUGCAACACCGCCUCCCACCAUCUCCACAGGUUGCCUUGAAGAUUAGCUAGCCCUUCCCACCGAACAGGUGCAAUCUUCCAUAUUACUUGCGCUGUUGGGCAGGUAAAGAAGAUAUGCUCGAUAGUUUCCAUGUCCUCCCCACAACAUUGACAAACUUUGUUCCCUAUGCCAAACCUUUUAUAGAGAGCAUCUUUAGUGGCCAAACCAUUUUGUAGACAUCUCCAUAGGAAAUGUUUCAAUUUCAGCUUAAUGUUUAGGCUCCACAAGGUUUUCCAAACUGUAUGCUUUCUUAUUUCCCAACUGGUUUCCGGAUCAGGUGCUGGCCUUUGAUUUGUUACCUCCAUUUCCUCCUUGGCAAUCACAUAUCCAGUCUUCACCGUGUAGAUUCCAGACUUGCUGUGUUUCCAGAAUAAUCUAUCCUUCCUGUUAUACAAACUAAGAGGGAUAUUAGAAAUCUGGUUUACUACAUCAUCAUUAAACCAAAGCUGCAAACGACCAAUGUUCCACUUCCCUCCCUCUAUAAGCUCAUUAACAAUAUUCACUAUUAUCUACUCACAUCUUAUCUAUUAAACUUCCCACUCUCACAUAACUCCCACAACAACCAACACGCACAAACACAUACACAUACCCCCAUUUUUUUUUAAGGAUUAAUCUUUCCUACACUUAAAAUCUAUCACCCUUUUUCCUUUUUACCUAGUAUUAAGAAACCUAAAAGAGUACAUAAAAAAGAAAAAAAAAACUUAAAAGAGCUCCUAUAAAGCUAAAAAUUUUGAGAUCCUAACUUUGCAGUAGGGCUUAGAAGUUGAAUCUUACACUGGAACUCAAAUUUUGUGAAGAUAGAAGAGGGUAUUAGUAAAAAAUAACGAGUAAAUGUCAAGAAAUAUAUAGGUGUUAAAUUCAGCUCGGACAUCAACCUGGCAAGGCCAAUUAUUUAACGAGGUAGUAGUCCAGUCGUGGAUUCAUCAGUUGAAUCGAUGGCUAAAUAAUACAAUAAAAUAUAUAUAUCCAAAUUUAAAAAAUAUAUUUAUAAUUACAGAAUUGGGGUAAAAAUGGUAGUUGGAUUGACCUAUAUUUAAGAUUUUGUCGAUUGAACCGAUAGGUCAUUCAACAAGUUACUUUUUUAUUCCGUCCAACUACUAACCUAGCCUGACUGCGUAGCUAAUUUAUGGUAUUAUUAACCGGUUAAACUCCCCAGUUAGAACGGGGUUAAUAAAUAUGAAGAAAAGCUUUAACAAGUUAGUCCAGGUCAAAGUAGGUAUCGUUCCCCCACUAAAUUCAAAAUCUUCUAAUACAUAACUACUACCAUAACAUGAAUGCUAGAAUGCUAUUUGCUCAACAUGGAUAAGUUCCACCCACAAAAUUAAAAAUCAACAUGACAUACUAUUGAGAAUGAGGAAAAUGGGUUCUUUCGUUUUCCGUGUUGACUAGGGCUGCAAACGAGCCGAGUCGAGUCGAACUUUGAGCUAAUCGAGCCGAGUCUCGACUAAAUUUUACCAAGCUCGAGCUCGAGCUCGAGCUCGACGAGCCGGCAAAUUUCGAGCUCGAGCUCGACUCGAAUCAAGUCGAGCCGAGCUCGAGCUCGAGCUCGAGUUCGAAAAAAAAUAAAAAAUAAUUAUUUUAUUUUUUAAAAAAUAAAUAAAAUAAUAUUUUUUUCUUAAUAAAUAAUAAAAUAUUAAGGAUAUAUACGUAAUUUUACUAUGAAAAUAAAAAAUAAAAAAAUAUAUAUAUAUAAUAUACGUAAUUUUAUUAUUAAAUAAAAAUAAAAAAAUAUAUAUAUAUAUAUACCCAAGCUCGCAAGCCGGCUCGCGAGCUAACGAGCUUAAUAUUCUGAGCUCGAGCUCGAGCUCGAGUUUGACUCGAGCCGGCUCGAGCUCGACUCGACCUCGAUUAAUAUCGAGCUCGACUCGAGCUUGACUCGAGCCGCUCGCGAGCGGCUCGAUUCGUAUGCAGCCCUAGUGUUGACACAGUUCAGGUUCAGGUUCGAAUCGAAAUCGAACUAGAAUUGGACCAACCUCUUAUUGAAUCAGAAUAAUAAUUAAAUGUAGAGAACCGAAACUAUCACUAAAACUUUGGUUAAAUGUUCUCAUUUAGGUUCUUAAAAAAAAUUAGAGUUUGAAUCAGAACGACAAUUUUGUGAAAGUCAUAACUCCUGAAUCGUGACAUUUAAUAAAAGUUUGUGAUCAUAUUACCUAUAAUAUAUAUAGCUAAUAUUCGAUGAAUAGAAGUUUAUCGUCAUAUUAUCUAGGAUACAUAUAGUCAAUAUCCAGCGGAUAAAUUACGAAAUUUCAUAGUGCUUAAGUGCAUAGAAGGAAAAAAAAAAAAAGAAAAGAAAACAUUGACGUACACUUGGCAACUUCAACAUACUGUGGGUGUUCAAAACCCGCAUGAAUAAAUUAGUUAAUUAAAUCUGCGUCUGGUGGGAAGUGGCCAAACUUGUUCUUCAAGAUUUCGCAAACGCCAACCGAAAUGAUUUCCUUCUAGGGUCGAGAGAAUGCGUGGAAAUACAGAAUUGGUCACGAGUCACCGCCUUAAGUAUAAUUAGUUUAAAUAUUUGAAAACGCAAUUGCAAAUGUUUCAAAAAAGGGGAAAUUGCCCGGAAAUUCACUCAAUUAACGCGCGAGGGCUAAAACAACUGACUGGAUAAUGCGGUCGUGCUCUAUAUAUAUCUCAGACGAUCGUGAUGAUUUCUGAUUCCUUGAUGGGAGUGAAGGGAGGAAGGGAGGGAGAGCGAAAGGUAGAGAGUUACUGGGAAAUUGUUUGGCUGUUAGUUUGUUAGACAAGGAGAGAAGCAAUGGGGGGAUGCUUUUCUGAUGUGAAAGGAGGGCAACAAGCUGUCGGAGGAGGCGGAAUUGUGGGCCACCCAGGGGCCCAGGGCGUUCGUGGUGCUGGAAGCGCCGCCGGGCCCGCCGCCUCUGGGCUCAAUGAUGCUGUGGAAUUUUUCUUCCAGACUAAAGGUGUCCAAGCCCUUAGCACGCAACUCGAGGUCUGUCUAGUACAAUUAAUCUUAAAAAAAAAAAAAGUGGUCAACAUAGGAGCAAUAAACUAAGCCCCUGUUCAGAAUUGAAUUGUCUCUGUUAAACGUUGUACUUACACGAAUUGUUUACGCUGUCUGACUUUUCAAAUUGUCUACAGUAUGUAUAUAUUGGUCUUUUAUUUUUUGUUUUCAUUUGUUUCUAAUAUUUGAGUUUUUCUUUAUGGUAUGCAUACUUUGUUUUAGAAUUCUUUUCAAGAAUUUUGAAUUAUGCUGACUAGUAUGCAAGGUACACUUUAAUUUCAAGGAUUCAAGAUGAGAAAAAAGAUUAAAAAAAAAAGGGGUUUCAGGAAUGAGUAUGAUUUUGGAGAUACAAGUAAGCACUUGUCAAAAGUGAAGAUUCUCGCAUUCAAUAGACUAAUGUGAAAGAAAAAACUAAGAUCUCACUGAUAUUUGAGAUGGAAAGUAAGACAGAGGAUGAUAAGUCGAUUAUUAGUGAGCUAGAAAAUCAUGAUACAAAUUUGAGAGAGAGAGAUAUGAUAGUCAUGAGAGUUUUACUUUUAACUUUUUUAACUUGUUGAAAGUGAAAAAUUUUGUGUGCAAUAGACUAAUGUGAUUAAGUUAAUCUAUCUGUGGAAAAUAAACAAUGGCCUCCAUCAAAGGGCAUAGUAAAAAACGUUUGCUGCCCUAAUUUAAUUCCAUUAUUGUGGGCUAGUAGGAGGAUGCCUUGUGAUUGCUCCAACUGAAUUGUAGUGCUAUAAGUUGAUUACUCACUCCAUCCUCAUCAAAUCCUUAGAAGUUUAACUUGGGGUUUAUUGGAAGAGUUUACCUUUUGUUUGAUUCUGGUGACAAAUUGUAAAAUAUUUUGGUAUAUUAACUUGUUCCUUAAUUGUCUUGAAGAAAGGCCACCAGAACAGGAGUUUCUUUUGUUCUUGUGUGCUGAAAAAUCAAGGGUAAACUUAAGUCUUCAACUACUUUAUAAAUUGUGCUGAAAACAAAGCAAAAAAGUGGAUUAAGAUCAUAAUUGUUGAUUUUAUACUGCUGUUCAGCCAUACAUAAGGACAACAGAAGAAUAUGGUGUAUUCCAUAUCAUGCUAAGUUGUUUUCUUAGUUAUGUAUUUUGUCAGCAGUAUCUUCUUCAUAUUUGUGCAACCCGACAGUGAAUUCUGGUAGUAAAUCUGAUUUAUGAUCUUUUAUCAUGUUUCAAAAAAUUACAGUAUUGCCUUUAUAAAUAUGCAAAAAUGGAAUGGGAUGGAAUCUGUUGGAUUAUCAUCUAGAGUACAUGAGAAUGUAGGAAACUGUUCCCUGUUUAUCCUUUAGAGUUAAGGAUAUUACCCUAUGGUGGGAUACAUGAAGGGUUAAUCAUAUAUUGGGCUAUAUUGGACACUUUCAUGUGAUAAGUUUACCUGCCGAUGGUUCAAUUGAUAUUGACAUCUUGUUUUGACAUGCAUAUUACCACCAGCAACUUACUUGUCGACAGUUGAAGUAUCACAAUAAGUAACCUUACAGUAUUCAUAAUUUAGUUGAGUAUGGACUGAUAGUAAUUAUUGUCAUUGCUUCGUUAAACGCAACCAAAUAUGUUUCUCUUCCUUCCGUAAAAUGAAACAAAGGGAGACAAAGUGGUAGUGAUUCUUGAGUUUUUAUGGUGAUUAGAAAAUUUGUCAAGUGUACCAUGGCGGGCAUCCACUUCUCAGCUAAAUGUGGCCCAUGUUCUGCUGUUGACUUAUAUGGCAUGCUUAGGCAUUGUUCUAAGGCCUUGUCUGGCACUGUGGAUUGGCCUGGAAUUGAUCAAUAAUGUAUUUUGAUCUAAAGUUAGGUUAUUCACCUAAAAGGAGUGGAUUGUUUAGUCUUGAAAAGAUGGUGAUUAUUUUGACUUUGAAGUUGUCCAACGAUUGAAAAGUGUCUUAAUCUAUAAGAACUAGCAUAUAUCUGGCGAGGAAACAUUAUAAAUCUGAUUCCCGAUUGGUUAAAGCAAUUCGAAUCCAUAAAAAUGGUAAUUUUGCAAAUUAUUAAUACACAAUGUGCUAUUUGUACAUGUGGUAAUCGUUGAAAAACUGCUGCCUUAACAUCGUUGAUACCGACUAAUUCUGAAUAUUUUGUUGGAAAUAGAUUUUGCAUUGAAUUGAUAUGUAAAGUGAUAUUUAGAUCUUGCUAUAUAUGUUGCAUACUUUAAAUUAUUUAGUUAUGAAAUUUCUAGUACUUCUUGAAAAAGGGUAAAAGUCAAGUCACUCUAGAUUGACAAAAAGUUUUACAAGUCACUAGAAAAUGGAAUAGGACUUAUCUUUCGCAUAACGUUUGGUGAAACUUAUCCAGGGUCUUGUUCCUUUUUCCAUUCCUGUGAACCAUGCGACGCCGGAGGUUUUUGCUGGAGAUGAAUAUUGGAUUUUUGAAAUAAUGGGUCAAUUUAGUUAAUUUUCCCCUUAUUAAGCAGUUGCAGAAAGUUAUCUCAUACUGGAUUUCCAGUUGGGCCAAUGUCUGUCUUGCUGACAGUAGAAAAAGAAUGCUUACCAAAAAUAUAUUCUUGUUUGCACUGGUUUCAGUAUGUAGAAAUAUAUGUCUUGCAGUGGAAACCUUAUUUUUUCUGAAGAGACAUGCUAUUGCCAUAAAAACUAAUAUUCCUUAGAAAGUGGCCAUAGAACUGAUGGUGGUCCUUAUGUUGUGGGGCCAUAAAUCAUGCAACGUUGAUGACCAUCUAUCAUACGAUGCGGUUUCUUCCAGCAUUAUUAUCAUAAAAUAUGCUUGCUUCUGAAAACUCAUCCUUUUUCUAGCAUGGUUCAACAUUAAAAGUAGCUUUCCUUCAGAAAAGACAGGACAUCUACCUUUUAUAUAAUCUGGAAAAGUAUUGCAGUUACUAGUACUUGGUAGUUAAGCAAUGGACUCAUGAAAAAAUUAUAGGGGUUUAUAAUGCAUGGGUUUGAAAGGUGACUACAAUUUUUAGACUGUUGAAAAUACAACAAAUUCAGAUGAUCAAUGUAUUUUUCUGAAUUUGGAAUGCGUCUGCUGACAAUAGGAAAAAUACAACAGUUGGAAGUUGAUUUUUGUAUAGAUUUAUACGCAAACAUAUCUGAACCAGUUCUCUCUCCAUAUAAAUAUCAUUCUUGUUUGUAUUUAAGUUUUGUUUAUAGAAGGAUCCUAUUUGAUUUUGUUGUCCAUCACGUAGACUGUGGUUUAAAUGAGAGUUUGUCACCUGCAGUUAUGUUUGUCAGCUUCAAAGUUGCGUGAUCGUGAUAUUAUCUCAAAGGUUCGUACAUCAUAUUGAGUUUGGCCAUGUAAAUCUCUCUCUCUCUCUCUGUGUACAUGUGUUUGUCUGUUUGCAUGGUGUACAUGUACAUAUAUGUAUAUGUAUUUCGUUGGUCAUCAAUUUUCCUCUGGGUCUAAAUAAUCAAGAGGCCAUUAUUUGUAUACCCACCUAAACUGUAGAGUAACAAGUAAUUAGUCUGGUUAUACAUUUAAAUUUGGUCUCAUGUUUUAUGGAUUUCUAUGUAAGUCCAUUUAUUGCUUUGGCUUUCCUGGGUUUAAAAUUUGAGACUGACUGUUGAAGAUAAAAGAGUUUGGGAAGUUUUCUUAUCAAGUACUUCUCUGGCUAUGUAAAUAGUUUUCCUCGGAAGUUACUGAAACCCGCUCUACUUCUUGUCAUGUGGAAAUUUUGUAAAAUAGGGAAAGAGUCUGGAUUUAGGAAUUUCAAACUUUGGGAUUUUAGAGCUGCAACAUUACCAUUUUCUCGAGUUAGUUUCAAGAUCUUUGUGUUUUCAAGACCUUCAUUUCAUUCUGCUCCAUCACCGAUAAGUCAGUAUUUGCAGUCAGCAUUCAGACCUUAUUGGCAUCUUAGCUGGUGCUCUAGAACUGUAAUCUUGAUUAGUUGGCUAUCAAAAUCUUGGUCUUGCAAACUUAAGGAUCUUACAAGUGAAUGUUGUUUUCUACCUGGCAACAGAGCGAUCCAAUGGCUGUGGUUUAUGCAAAGAAAAGGAAUGGAACCCUUGAAGAACUUGGUCGAACAGAAGUGAUUAUGAAUAAUCUGGAACCUGCUUGGAUUCAAAAAAUCAGUGUCAAUUAUCAAUUUGAGAUUGUUCAGCCAUUGAUGUAAGCUUUUGUACAACCUCUUAUUUGCUUCCUUUUGUGCUCAUAGCAUCUUGACUAUCUUUUGUCACCCCUUGCAGCUUUCAUGUUUAUGACAUUGAUUCGCAAUACCACAAUUUACCUGUGAAGGUAUGCUAUGCUGUACUAUCUGCUCUCGAUGCAGUUCUUCUACAAUUUUGUUUUUGGGUUGGGACUUGUCAUUUGCCAUAUUUGCAAUACACAGAGAUGAUAUUUUGUGCUCAAUAAAUGUCUUGAGUUGUAGUCAUUGAUCCUUGAUUUUUAUUUGUUAAUUGUUGAGUUAGUUUUUGGAUUGUACAGCUACCCCUGAAAGAUUGGUAAAGCUAAUGAUUUUGAAGAAAUUAUGCAGUUCCGAUACUCCACUUACUGUGAGAUUUUCACCAUACUGAAAAAAUGUGGGAUUUUUCUGAAUCACUGAUACUGUUUGAUCACUAGUAAAGAACAGAAUAGUUCAACUUUUCAUGCAAUCAAUAAGUAGUGUUCAAUGCUGUACAUCAAGCUUAAGGAUUGAACGUGUUUGAAUGAUGUUUCUUUAGAUUGAGAUAGCAUUCAAUUUGGUUCAUGAAAUUUUGGAGCUUUUAAGCUUCAGAUCUGUAUGGAAGCUUAUGCGGAUCUUUGUCGUUGCAAACUUGCAGAACUUGAACUUGAAGGAUCAAGAUUUUCUUGGUGAAGCUAGUUGUGUUCUCUCUGAGGUGGGUUACUUGCAUUUUGUUGACAACUGUAACACAUUAGUGUUGCUGCAGACAUAGUUAAUGUGGUAGUCUAUUUUGGGUUGGUGAAUUGUGUUAGUACCUGGAAAUAAGUGUCUUUUACUGUUGUGCUUGGGAAUGAUGCAGUCUUUACCCUUCUCCAAUGCAACAUUAAGGUGGGUGCCGGGGAAUGGGUGGAGCGGCCUGUGUGCACACUAUAAGUUAUAACUGUUAGAAAUCCUCGUAGACUUGAUGCUGAUUUUGAGUUUUAUGCUCAGUUUCUACUUUUGAAUUUUUUGCCAUCCAUAGUCUUAUUCUAAACUGUUCGGUUCCAAGUUUAAGGAUUGGUAAUCUAUAUAGUUGGUAAAUUCUCCUUUAAAUCUCCAUUCUCAAUAUUUUUUCUGAUUAGUCCUAUUAGAGAACUCCAUUUUUGGAAUGUUAGCCAUAAGUUAAGAUUAUAGGGAAUUAGCUAGCAUAAAAAGUAUUGGAAACAAAAGAGAUGAAGAUUGAAGUAUCCUCAAAUAUAUACAAAAAGUCUGAAGAUAGUAGAUUGGAUUAUUUUCUUGCUUUAAUGCAUUAUGAAGUUUUUAACUGUUGCUCCAAUGCGCCAUGUAUUAGCGAACUUGAAAUGGAGAUGGCAUUGACUUUUUCUGAUAAGAGACAUUAUGAAAUUGGAUUGCUUCAUCCUUUUCGUUGUUGAUACAGUCUAUAAUGUUGGGUUUUUAUGGUUCCAGAUAGUAGAUUGGAUUAUUUUCUUGAUUUUAUAUGAUAUGAAGUCUUUUUAUUGUUGCUCCAAUGCUUCAUAUAUCAGCGAACUUGAAAUGGAGAUGGCAUUGUCUUUUUCUGAUAAUGGACGCUAUGAAAUUGGAUUGCUUCAUCCUUUUCAUUAACGAUACAGUCUAUAAUGUUGAGUUUUUGUGGUUUCAGAUUGUUACUAAAAGAAACAGAACUUUGACCUUGAAUCUUCACAAUCGAGAUGGUCAUGGCUUGAAAAACUUGGGUACUCUUACUGUCCAAGCAGAAGAAACUGUAGCUUCAAGGACUGCUGUGGAGAUGACUUUUCGUUGUUAUCAUCUUGAUAACAAGGAUCUGUUUUCUAAAAGUGUUAUAUGGAUUUUGUAAAUAUCAAUUGUGAUGAACUUUGAAUCUAUUUCAACUUUAUUUUUACCUCAAUCUUAUUUUACUGUUUUCAGGAUCCUUUUCUUAGAAUCUCUAGGAUUGCUGAGAGUGGGGGUUCCAUUCCAAUUUGCAAGACAGAAGUCAUAAACAACAACUUGAAUCCAGUCUGGAAACCGCUGUGUCUAACCAUGCAACAAUACAUGAGCAAGGUAGUUUCCUGCUCGCUGUUUGCCGAAUCAAGGGUCCGUUUGUUUGCCUAUAGAAUGUUUUCCCCUAGAAAAUAUGAUUGCUGAAAUCAUUUUCUUGACAAUAUUUGGUUUUUCCAAUAUUUUAUAAUGUGUGGUUGACUUUUUGAUAAUAAUUUCUUCACAACUAGUGAUAUGCCAGUACUAUUUCCACCACCUUUUAACCACUACCACCCAAAAGACAAUCGAAAUUAUUUUUGUAUGCAUUCAUAAUCAUAGAAGGCCCAGGAAUGAUUCUAAGAAGUAUUGAAUAAGAUAUGUACCCAACAAGAUGCCACCAAUUGAUCCAAGCAAAUUCAAUGCCUUACUGGAGUUCCCUCCCUCAAAUCCAUGAAGCCAUAGAUGGAUUUCUUUGUCUCCACCUAUAUGUAAGAAGAGAGAGGAAGAGGAAUAAGUAAAUGUGUGUUAGAGAUGAGAGAGGAAAAGGAAGCGAUGAAUUAGUGUGUUUGAGAGAGGAUGAAUAAUUAAAGAGGAAGAGCCACUUAGAAGGUAAGCUUUUUGUUUCGGAAGAGGAAUUAGUGUUGGUCUGGAAACUUCUUCAGUGAAAGCUUUAUGUAAUUGUUUUUAUCUGAUUGGGUAAAACCUUUUUCUUUCUGGAAAAAUUUCCUGACAUAUCAUGCAGCCUAAUACCCAAAUAAAGGGAAAAUAUUUCCUGGGAAAUGUUUUCCAGCAAAACAAACUUGAGAUUAAAUAGAGGGAAAGAAAAAUCAGGGAGGAGGUUACAAGAAUGAUAAAUUAGGAAGAUAUAUGAAGCUAGAAUCGGAGAAAAUGGACCCAGGCUAGAUUGGAGAAGUCAUAGACACAGGAACAAAUGAAGUUACAGCACGGAUAACCCCCAUAUUUAACAUUUGCAUGCACUCUAUAUAUAUUAAUAAAGAUCUGCAUUGCAGGAUAACCCGUUGAUCAUUGAGUGUUUUGAUUUCAACAGCAGUGGCAAUCAUGUCCUCAUUGGGUAAUUUCACUUUUCUCAUUCCACUUUUUUGGUACUCUAUUUUAUGAUUUCUAAUGUUCCAUUAUUUUAUCCUCAAUGGUUCUGCUUAAUGUUCAAUGUUCAUUUUUCCUCCUUCCACCUGUUCCUCUUGAGUCAUAACUAUUGACAUAACUUCAAAUCUUAACAGGAAACUGCAAAAAACAGUGGCAGAGCUGGAACACCUUCACAAAACUAGAUCUGGUGUAAAUCUUGUUUUACCUCCAUCUCAUUUGCGGCGAGUUGAAAAGGUUUAAUUAUCUCCUCUAUGCAUGAGUUAUCGGUGCUUUAUGGAUCUGUUUCCAUUAGCCAAUGGAUAUGACCUUUGUCUUGUGUGUAUGUCUCUGUCAUCCAUCAUCUCAUGCAUGUUUUUUAUAUCCAAUCUUCUUGCAUUACCUAUUUGUAGAUUACUGAAGGUCAGCUGUUUGUGGAUGGGUAUGUUGAGAAGCAACUAUACAGUUUCCUUGAUUACAUUUCGAGUGGGUUUGAGCUUAAUUUCAUGGUUGCAGUUGACUUUACUGGUAAGUAAUCUUAAACCCUUUUUAGGCCUUUAACAAUUUGGUUAUAUCUUUCUUAUUUGGUCAAUCUCCACAUAUUUCUAUUUAAGUCUACUGUUCCUCUUUUAACUUCCUUUUUAUUCAGCUUCAAAUGGAAAUCCUCACAAUUCAGACUCCUUGCAUUAUAUUGAUCCUUCAGGGCGCCUGAAUGCUUACCAGCAGGUAAAGCUGGUCUUACCUCUCUCUUAACUUCCUUAUACAUUACCGGUCAUCUCUUCUGUUGUGCUUUUUAGAAUAUCUGAAAUUUUCUAAAUUAACCAUAUACUUAAAAACUUCACUUGUAUUAAGUAGAUGGAUGAUGACAUAAAUUGGACGUAUAUAUUGGCCAUAAUUUUCUAAAACUUAUUAUAUUGUUGCCAGGAAAUUAAUUGGAUCAGUUCACAAAGCUAACAUAAUGCCCUUAGUUGUGUGCACGUGUUUCAGUUUCCUGUGUCUGCAUUUAUGACUUAUCUGGAAGUAGCUGAAAAUUUUAUGAAAUGCAAUCCUCUUUUUCUUGUACUUCAGAUGUUAAAAGCUUAUAGUUGAAUUAUUAACUGAAAAUCAUUACAGGCUAUAAUGGAGGUUGGGGAAGUUAUACAGUUUUACGACUCUGAUAGACGCUUUCCAGCUUGGGGUUUUGGUGCAAGAACAAUUGGUGGUUCAGUGUCCCAUUGUUUCAACUUGAACGGAAUCCCUACUGAUUCUGUGGUAACAAUCUCUUUUAUAGUUACUAUUUAUCUGAAAACAUCUUGUGCGUUAUCCAUAUCACUUGAUUCCAUUUGCAGUGCUUCCUGCAUUCAGUUAUCUUUAUCUUGGAUUGGCUGAUAAGCAACAGAAAAUUAUUUUAUGCUAGCGUUUGAUUAUUUAAUUUCAAAAGGCCCUCACAAUUAUGUGAUCUUAGAUGGUACAAUUCACUUUCAAGUUACUAGAGAGACAGAUAACUGUGAUUGUAUUCCUGAUGUUCUAUUUGAUGAUGGUCCCAUGACCCGCAAUCACUUUUUGUAGACACACAUUUUGGCUAAGACCAGUGAUACAGGCCUUAGGAAUGGGUUACAGACAUUAGUACAUAUCUAAAACUCCUUAACAAUGAUUACUGAUGAGCAUAUUCAUGGUUUAUUUCUUUUUGACUAUCAAAAGAUGGAUGAGAGAUAAUGUCUAUUAUUAAAAUGUCAAUAUCUUUUGUCAGCGCAAUUUGCUCACACAGUGUUGAUAUUUUGGGGAAGUCAUAACCCUGGAACUUUAAAUGUUAUAAAUUUCAGGGUCUAGAAUAUUGGUAUUAUUAGUCGCUUCUUCAGCAUAUCCACCUAUGCCAGGACAAAUAAGCUCAAGCAAGAAGUAAUAUAAAUUCUUUUGCCAAAUUAAUCAAAUAAGUUAUGAAAGCAGCCGAGGGAAUUAAAUAUUAGUUUAAAAAUUCUCCCAUGUUAUGAUGUUUUGCCAUUCUAAUUUGGGUAACGGAAUUCACUUCUCUCUCACAUCAAUUUCUCCAUUGCACGUUAGCCGGAACGUUGAUUAGAUUGAAAAAAAUGUUUGAUUCAAACAGGGACACCAGCAGAGUAAAAUUGUAGUAGCUUGAGGAUUUUUCUCCCGCUUAUUUAAGAGUAUCAGAAUUAAAUGAGAUCCCCUAUUGCACUUAAUCCUUGUCGUUGUAUUGUUGGGUAUACCACUUGACCAAUUGAGAAGUCAAGGAGAUGCCAUUGAAAUUGACUAUAUUUAUGCCAACUUUGCAUAUGUUUUGUCCAUCUAUUAAUAUUAAAAUAUGAAUUUUUUGUUAAUUAAAUUUUGAAUUCUGUGGCAGUGGUUUCAUUUGAUUGGUAUUCUUUAUUGUAGGUUACUGGUAUAGAAGGCAUUAUGGCUGGUUAUUCAAGUACGCUGUAUAAUGUCACCCUUUCUGGGCCCACAUUGUUUGGUCCAGUUAUUAACAAGGCUGCAGAAAUUGCUGGUGGCUCCCUCUCUGUCAACCAGAACAAGUAUUUCAUCUUGCUAAUUAUAACGGUAUGCAAAAUAAAUAGUUGACGUUUACUGUCUUUGCAGCAUAGUUUCAUGCUUUGCUCCUGAAAUCUGGCAAAUUUUGCUUUCUUGUAGGAUGGAGUCGUAAGUGACAUCCAAGAAACUAAAGACGCUUUGGUCAGGGCAUCUGACCUGCCACUUUCCAUCCUUAUUGUUGGAGUUGGCGGAGCAGAUUUUACGCAAAUGGAGGUACAUUCUUACUGUAAUAAUUUUAUAACUUUUUUAGCUGGAAUUUGACUAGGUCCAUGUAACGAGUUUGCAUGUGAAAAAAAAAAAUCAUUUCAUUUGGCAGGUCCUUGAUGCUGAUGAUGGACACCGAUUAGAGAGUUCAACUGGAAGGGUAGCUACCCGUGACAUAGUUCAGUUUGUUCCUAUGCGUGAAGUACACCGUAAGUGCUUGUUCACUUGCUUUAUAUUAGGAUAUGGUUCUUUUCUAAUAGAAAGACCACUUGUUAUGUAAAUAUACCUAUUCUUCUUCUGGCGGUAAUUUUAGUGGUUAUUUUGCAUCUUUUGGUAGGGAUUCAACACCUCGAAUUUCUAGCUUUUAUAUUAACAAUUUAGUUGACAUAGGACAAUUGCGAUGGAACUACCCUAUUACAAGAUAACUUGUUAUUGCCUGUUAGAACUGGCCAAGCUCUUAUAGGCAUCUAGUCACUUGGCUGUUGUUAAUUAGCUCGUGGAUUUCAUUUCAUUGAAUGUUGAACUUUUUACUCUGCAUGGUUCCUUUCUUCAGUUACUGUGUUUUUUGCUUCAUUUUUUUUUUCGGGUGGGGCCCGGGGGGGUGUUGGGGUGUUUGUGACAGCCUAUCAAUGGACUGUGAACUGUUGAUCCAAGUCUCCAGAUUGUCGAGAAAGCUUAUGGUUAGAAACUAGUUUAUCUUUUACUCGCUUUCAGUUUGUAGUUGGUGGAUUCAAAAGGCACUAAAAAUCUUGAACUUGGUGGAGAAUUUUGUAGUUGGAUUUGGUGGAGACUUUUGUAGUUGGAUCAUGCUCAAGUUGUUUAAGCUAAUUGAAGUGGUAUGGUUUAUAAGUGCUUUACUUAAGACACUGAGAACUUAUUAAGAAACGAGAUGCAUGGUAGCAAGGGAAUGUUAUGACCAUCUUGAGGAUAUACUUGGUCCUUAGUCUGAAGUAGUCUGAAGUUCUGGUUUUGGCUUGAUAAAUGGAUUGCAUGCAAGAUGAGUUAAGAUUGAAUAUGGGUUCUGAUGCCUGAAGACUGACUGAAAAGUAUAUGUACACUAAGAGGAAUAAAGGAUAUUGAAAGAGGCACAAUAUUUUUGGUACUUGGAGAACUUGAAUGAUUUCACAAAUUAAUCAUUUUCGUACUGUGUCUAGUACUUACAGUGAAACUAUUCUAAUUCUCCAUUCUCAUUGUCUGCAGAAGUAAUUCUAACCUUUGAAAUGUUAACGACUACCGUGUAAUAUAUGAUCACAGAUUUAUUCAAAGUUACUAGUAGACUCUUGACCAAUAAUUAAGAAGUUGGACUAAAUACCUAAUUGCAAUUAUUGCCUCAAAUACUUACUAAACACAAUGUGAUCAGGAGUGUAAACUAUGGUCGCGACAAUAGUUAUAGGUGCCUUGAAGGUUUGUUGUAAAAUCCAAUCCCCUCGAUUAGUUCCACUGCCCUCUUCAAGUUCUUGAACAUCUUCAAGGAACCCUCUCUGAAGCUGGAGCCUGUUUUUGAAGAUUCUUCUCUUAUUUACUCUUCCUGGACCUCUGACUGGUUCACAGUUGGCAUUGCAUUGAUUGUCAUCAUUAACCAUGAAGCUAUUUAAAUUUCUAUUUAUGAAGUUAUAUAUUAAGUGGAAGACAGGCUGUAGAAAUAAUCAACUUCCAGCAAGAUUGUCUCGUGUCAUGAAUGGAUUUUUGGGAGUUAAGUUGCCAAGUGUUAAUGAGAAUUACAACCAACGUUAAUAUAAAUUGUGUUGAAGAUCUUGGAGAUGGAUUGGUGGAGUGCAUGUUGUUUAAAAUGACAAAUGCAAUGCUUUUAUAGAGCAGCAUAGGUCUCUGAUUAAAUUCUGCUUUAAGAAGUUAGUUUUAAGUUGUUGGCAGCUUCAGCACAAUUUAAAAUCUCUUUGCUUGUCAAUCUUUCCUUGUGUUUUUCCCCCUUCACUUGCUUUCCUCUACCUAAUGUAUGACCUGAUAUUUGGCUAACUUUGUGUAGGUGGAGAGAUAUCAGUUGUUCAGGCUCUCCUGGAAGAACUACCUGGACAGUUCCUGAGUUACAUGCGUAGCAGGGAUAUCAAACCUCACUUUCCUGAUAUGGUUCAUGCUUCAGGCCGGGGAACCCUUUAUGGGGUUUGAACUAUUAAAAUGCUCAAAAGUUGCUUAACAUGUAAUCUUCUAGGAUUUUAAUCUAACAGAAAUUUCAGAAUGUAAAUAUCUAGGGAGAAAGAGCAGAGCAAAAAUAGAUGUUUUUUUCGGUGGCAGAAAUAUGUCAAUUCUUUGAUUCUGUUGGUCUUCCUCAAGUACAUAUGAGUAGGUAGUAGAGUAUGGAUGUCUGUCCCCAUCUAAAUUUGUUUACAAGCAAGUGCAAUGUCUUAUAGCAUAAACCUUUCUACAUUAUUUAUUGGUUUGAGACGUGAAUAUAUCUAGUAAAGAACUUAAAAUACUGCUGGGAAAGGGGUUUGCAAGUUGAGCCCUGGCGCUAGAUCAUUAUCCAGCAUGGUGUCUUCGCCAGAACCUGAUUCCUGAUAUGCUGUGGUCUAGGUACCUAUCUGUUUUCAUUCACUUAAAUUUUAGGACACAGGUAUUAUCCCAAAAAGAUCAGAAGAGAGAGCUUUUUUAGCGUGAACUUCGCUGGAUUAUUGAUGUCUGCCAUGCUAUCUGUUCUACCAUUUUAAAGGAUCACAGAGACACUUGAACAAACGAUAACAGUAGAUGAACAUUACAUCAAUAUUUUCUGCGUUUCUAGGGGUUGGGAUGAUGUAAGAGGGUAGGAAAUUUAAUUUCUGUGUGUGUGUGUGUGUGUGUGUUUUUUUUUGUUCUGUUUGCAGCAUGAACUAAUCUUUCCAAGUUAAUUAAAAUUAUGCAAUGUUUUCCCUUAGAAAUAAGACUUAUAGAAGAUGUUCUCAGAUUCUUCUCCGAUCGAGUUGUUAAUGCAAGGAUGAUAGCAAAAUGAUCAUGGAAAGUAAGAUCCAAAAGACCUAAUUGGAUGACAUUACCAAACUUUUCAGGCAUCUUCUUUCUGGCGUUUCGGAACUUCUGCACUGCAAAUUAAUUGGAGGAAGUAACUGAUAGUUUAGAGAUAGAGACUACCACAAAUUCGCAAGUUAAUUACUUCUGAACAUUUAGCUUACUCGUUGGUUGAAUCUGGAACACGAAACAACUCGAUAGAGAGUCGAUGUUUUGCAGAUUCAUUCCACCUUAGAUGGUAGAAAUGCUAUACGAUUUGCUGACCAAAGUACCAUAGUUGAUGUCUUUUACUGCUGCUAAUCAAUUCUUCGAAAACAUAAAUGUCUGGAAAACAAUGUUAAGUAUGAAGUAGGGGGUUUUGUCCAAUGAUAUUUGUAAAACAAGUUUCCAAUAAAAUUGAGCCCAAUCGAUUCUAACAAUGAACGGAAAGGGAAAAAAUACUUUUUGCCUUUUCUUUUUGGUAUUUGCUUGGACCUGCAGAGUCCUAAACUGCACCUCCUGGUGCCAAAAAGAAUACACACUGUCCUGGCAAUAUGAUGUUGAUAUGCGGUCGAUUAAGGAAUUGAAUUUUCACAUUUU